rnacentral:rRNA from 1 species
AGGGAUUGCCCUAGUAACGGCGAGUGAAGCGGCAACAGCUCAAAUUUGAAAUCUGGCCCUUGGGUCCGAAUUGUAAUUUGUAGAGGAUGUUUUUGGUGCGGUAUCUUCCGAGUUCCUUGGAACAGGACGCCUUAGAGGGUGAGAGCCCCGUACGGUUGAAUACCUAGCCUUUGUAAAACUCCUUCGACGAGUCGAGUAGUUUGGGAAUGCUGCUCUAAAUGGGAGGUAAAUUUCUUCUAAAGCUAAAUACCGGCCAGAGACCGAUAGCGCACAAGUAGAGUGAUCGAAAGAUGAAAAGCACUUUGAAAAGAGGGUUAAAUAGCACGUGAAAUUGUUGAAAGGGAAGGAUUUAUGACCAGACUUUUUCUAGGCGAAUCAUCCGGUGUUCUCACCGGUGCACUUCGUUUAGUUUAGGCCAGCAUCGAUUUUCGGAGAGGGAUAAAAGCUUUGGGAAUGUGGCUCCUCCGGGAGUGUUAUAGCCCAUUGUAUAAUACCUUUCUGGGGAUCGAGGUACGCGCUUCUGCAAGGAUGCUGGCGUAAUGGUUAUCAAUCACCCGUCUUGAAACACGGACCAAGGAGUCGAACAUUUGUGCAAGUGUUUGGGUGUUAAACCCUCACGCGUAAUGAAAGUGAACGGAGGUGAGAGCCCUUACGGGUGCAUCAUCGACCGAUCCUGAUGUCUUCGGAUGGAUUUGAGUAAGAGCAUAACUGUUCGGACCCGAAAGAUGGUGAACUAUGCGUGGAUAGGGUGAAGCCAGAGGAAACUCUGGUGGAGGCUCGCAGCGGUUCUGACGUGCAAAUCGAUCGUCAAAUCUGCGCAUGGGGGCGAAAGACUAAUCGAACCAUCUAGUAGCUGGUUACCGCCGAAGUUUCCCUCAGGAUAGCAGUGUUGUCUUCAGUUUUAUGAGGUAAAGCGAAUGAUUAGGGACUCGGGGGCGCUUUUUAGCCUUCAUCCAUUCUCAAACUUUAAAUAUGUAAGAAGCUCUUGUUACUUAAUUGAACGUGAGCAUUCGAAUGUACCAACACUAGUGGGCCAUUUUUGGUAAGCAGAACUGGCGAUGCGGGAUGAACCGAACGCGGGGUUAAGGUGCCGGAGUGGACGCUCAUCAGACACCACAAAAGGUGUUAGUACAUCUUGACAGCAGGACGGUGGCCAUGGAAGUCGGAAUCCGCUAAGGACUGUGUAACAACUCACCUGCCGAAUGUACUAGCCCUGAAAAUGGAUGGCGCUCAAGCGUCCCACCCAUACCUCGCCCUUAGGGUAGAAACGAUGCCCUAAGGAGUAGGCGGCCGUGGAGGUCAGUGAC